UGAGGAAUAUUGGACAAUGGGUGGAAGCCUGAUCCAGCCAUCCCGCGUGAAGGAAGACGGUUCUAUGGAUUGUAAACUUCUUUUAUAUGGGGAUAAACCUACCCUCGUGAGGGUAGCUGAAGGUACCAUAUGAAUAAGCACCGGCUAACUCCGUGCCAGCAGCCGCGGUAAUACGGAGGGUGCAAGCGUUAUCCGGAUUUAUUGGGUUUAAAGGGUCCGUAGGUGGGUUGGUAAGUCAGUGGUGAAAUCCUGCAGCUUAACUGUAGAAUUGCCAUUGAUACUGCUAGUCUUGAGUGUAUUUGAAGUAGCUGGAAUAAGUAGUGUAGCGGUGAAAUGCAUAGAUAUUACUUAGAACACCAAUUGCGAAGGCAGGUUACUAAGAUACAACUGACGCUGAUGGACGAAAGCGUGGGGAGCGAACAGG
rnacentral:rRNA from 1 species